rnacentral:rRNA from 1 species
GGAUGAACGCUGGCGGCGCGCCUAACCCAUGCAAGUCGAACGGCACCCCUCCUCGGCGGGAAGCGAGUGGCGAACGGCUGAGUAACACGUGGGGAACCUGCCCCCUCCCCCGGGAUAGCCGCCCGAAAGGACGGGUAAUACCGGAUACCCCGGGGUGCCGCAUGGCACCCCGGCUAAAGCCCCGACGGGAGGGGAUGGCUCCGCGGCCCAUCAGGUAGACGGCGGGGUGACGGCCCACCGUGCCGACAACGGGUAGCCGGGUUGAGAGACCGACCGGCCAGAUUGGGACUGAGACACGGCCCAGACUCCUACGGGAGGCAGCAGUGGGGAAUCUUGCGCAAUGGGGGGAACCCUGACGCAGCGACGCCGCGUGCGGGACGGAGGCCUUCGGGUCGUAAACCGCUUUCAGCAGGGAAGAGUCAAGGCUGUACCUGCAGAAGAAGCCCCGGCUAACUACGUG